AGCAGCCGCGGUAAUUCCAGCUCCAAUAGCGUAUAUUAAAGUUGUUGCAGUUAAAAAGCUCGUAGUUGAAUUUCGGGGUCAGCAGGUUGGUCGUGCCACUGGUAUGCACUGGUCUCACUGAUUCCUCCUUCCUGAUGAACCGUAAUGCCAUUAAUUUGGUGUUGCGGGGAAUCUGGACUGUUACUUUGAAAAAAUUAGAGUGUUUAAAGCAGGCUAACGCUUGAAUACAUUAGCAUGGAAUAAUGAAAUAGACGAUCGAUCCUAUUUUGUUGGUUUCUAGGAUUGACGUAACGAUUAAUAGGGAUAGUUGGGGGCAUUAGUAUUCAAUUGUCAGAGGUGAAAUUCUUGGAUUUAUUGAAGACUAACUACUGCGAAAGCAUUUGCCAAGGAUGUUUUCAUUAAUCAGGAACGAAAGUUAGGGGAUCGAAGACGAUCAGAUACCGUCGUAGUCUUAACCAUAAACUAUAGCCGACUAGGGAUCGGAUGAUGUUAAUUUUUAAUGUAC
rnacentral:rRNA from 1 species